AAAAGUGAUAAAAUAUUCAGAAUUAUUGUGCUGGUUCACGGCACGGCUGGCACCUGACUGAUUUGUGUGGCCUGCGUGUAAUGCAUAUAUCUCUUGUGAAAUCAAAACCUUAUAGAUUUCAGUGCAUCAGGUGACUAAUAAUCCAUGAAAAUACAGGAAGGAUCAGAUAUUCAGUCAUCUUUUUUAUGAUGCACAUUCAGGCUAUAUAAUGACAAGGCUGGGAGGAGAUAUUUUAGGAACCUACUUGACAACAUGUGAUCAUCCUAGCGAUCUGCCACAUGUUGUUGUACACACUUCAAAGACAACAGACAACAGACUGAUACAAGAACAAACCAGGGAAAGAUACGGGCUUAAACAUAAACUUAAUCUUUAUGUUCCAACCAAAGCAUCCAAAGGUGAAGGGAGUUUUAAAAGAUCCCUCCAUCACCUGGAUUUCAAUUUAGUCAACAAUGGAAGUGGUUUAGUACAUUUCAGUUUGAUUUUUGACAAGUAUUGGGAAAGACUAACGACAUACCAGUAAAUGAAACCGAAACUUCAACGUUUUGAUAAACAGUCAUAACGGAGUUAUCCUCCUUGACUAGCCAGUUAGAGUAAUGAUUGAUACCAACUCAAACAGUACAACUGUAAAGGUAGAGGAGAAAAAUGCAACGAACCAGGCCUGGAUUGGACCCCAGGCCACCUGAAUCUCCAGUCAGGUGCUCUACCACGAUACUUGACAAACUGGUGAUGGAGCCCAUCUGACCACCACAUUUCUGUCUUCCACCAAUAAGACACCAAUUCUUCCUGAGCAGGUCUUUUACCUGACACAUACUGUCUGGUCACAUAACCAAAUGAAACAUGAGAGGUGUCACUAAAGGUAGAACCCAAUUGACUGCCACACUACUAAUAUGAAAGCAUGUGUACAACAAACCAAAUUUAUGUCUAUAAGACUAUAAUGAGCCUGAACUCAAACUGAUUAAUGAUCAGAAUUAAUCUGAGUAUUCUGGCACUUCCAUCUGAAGUAAUAUACUGUUUAAAAUAUUGCUAUAUGUUCAUAUAAAAAGUGUAGAAAUACUUUUCUAAGAUAUAGAUUCUGUAUUAUAUGACAGGAAAGGGGCAGGCUAAUUCUAGGCCUGCCGACUUCCUCAAAUCCUGAUCAUCUUGGAUUGCAUUUUUAAGACAAUGAAUAAACAUUUAAUUGCUUCA